AGGGCCGCACCCGUGGCAUGUGGAGGUUCCCAGGCUAGGGCUCCGUUCGGAGCUGUAGCCGCUGGCCUACGCCACAGCCACAGCAAUGUGGGAUCUGAGCCACGUCUGCAACUUACACCACAGCUCAUGGCAUUGCCAGAUCCCCAACCCACUGAGCAAGGCCAGAGAUCGAACCCACAUCCUCAUGGAUGCUAGUUGAGUUUGUUAACCACUGAGCCACGACAGGAACUCCCUCAUCUAAUAGACUUUGUAACUAGAAUCAAAGUUUCUGUGAUUUGAUGGGAAUUUCAAGUCUGAGCUAUUAAGUGGUAACAAUGACAACAAGAAAAUACUACCCCAAUAUCAGUUCGCAGUAUGUGAUCAAUUAAGGGAAAAAAACCUGAAAUAAUUUUUACUAAAAACAGAGAACCAAGCUUCAGUGUUCACAAUAACAAAAACAAAACUACAGGACACAUUUUGACAACUGAACAGAUACUAGUUAUGCAUUAGCCAAAUUGUUAUUUGCCUCAAACUUUGUUCUAAGACUUGCUACCUUUGGUUAUGAAGCCUCAUUCCCAUUUUCAUUAUACAUUUUACAACAAACGAAAUAGCUCUUGCAGUUCAUAGAACUUCGCUUACAUCCCCAAUUCAAUGUACUCUAAAAUCCCUCUUUUCAGACACGAACACAGGACAGAGGUAGUACAAUCAAUUUUCAGAAUGAGCAGAAGAGUGAUAACCAUCCUAAGUACACAUAGCUCUUCAAGGGGGUGGGGCAAAAACAAACAAACAAACAAAAAAAAAACCCAAAAAACCACAUCCGUAAGAUGACAACUGGAAAUGUUCUUGGCAAGAGGAACAACUUAGGGCUUUUAUUUGUGGAAUGUUUUCAUGAAAAUAACCAUCAAUCUGAAUUUACUGGCUUCCAGUCAUUUUCCUAAAAUCAGGAAAGGACCAACUCUAGUUCAAAUUGUGACUAUUAGAUAUAAUUUUUAAGCAAUUUAACCAAGAAAAUUUUCUUAAGGGCCUCCUAAUACAAAUUUUCCAAGUUUCUAGGCAGAACAAAAAUGCUGCUUGCAGUAUCAGACAAUCAUAGAUACACACACAUUGUGCAAUUGCCUGUUUAUUUAGUGGUACCAGUUUUGCAAACUAGAAUUAUUUCUACUUUUCAUCUCAUACAAUCUGCAACCAUUCACAGGCUGAAUGCAAUUUCUUCAAUGGACUUGAAAAGAAAAAGUACAUUCUUAAAGUUAGAACUGAAUUCACAUGUUUUCUCUGGACCAGGAAAUGGUACAUAAUACAACAUUUACAUUUCUGGAAUUUCUUUAAAAGUCUGGAUCACAUAAACUGCAAACAGUGGGUGAAUUACUGUGGAGAAUUUUGUUAUACACUGUGUUUAGGAGAUAUUUAUGCAAUUGUAUUAGAUUUACAUGUAUGGAAUUUAAAAAGUGAACCUAUAUAAUAAUUCAACAUGCUUUUAAUAUGUAUGUGGUCUCUCCACUCAUAACAUUUAUACAAAUGAAAUGAAUUAUUUCAAGAGUAAAACAAAUCAACAAGUAUUUGGGCAUAACCCUAUAAACAAGAUAUUUUUCCUAUAGAUAUGCCAUUGACUUAAGGGCUAACCAUGUAAGACAACAGUCUCCAUUUCAAAAUGUCCAUAGAUGUGAAAUAAACUGUAACCGAACAUCUCAUUUUGGCAACAAAGCAGCAAGCUAAUCAGUUUUUUCCAUGGUAGUUUUAUUUAACAGAAAUGUCAUUAAUCCUAUACAUUGGUGGCUGUAUGUUAGAUCCUAUUUUAAACAUUCUGCCCCAAUAACUGGGGGCCCACAAGUCACUGCCAAUACUGCAAAUUUUGGGGAGCUAAGUACAUUAUAUAUGCAUUUUCCUAGGAUUAUUCAGUCUCAAAGGGUCUGUGACCCUAAAAGUUUAAGAAGUAUUGCUGCAAUGAAUUUGUACCUAAUUAAGACAGGACUGAUUCUGUUCUGUAGCUAUCCAUCUCCUAACAAAUCUAACUUCAGAUAGUACCAUACAAAUAAAAUGUUACUAAAAGUCCUUUACUAUAUCAAGAGGACUUCAUAAAAAGGAAAAAUUAUAAGCAGUUUUUCUAAAUAAUUCAAUGAGAAAGCUAUAAUAGAAAACUGGGGUUUGGAACAAUGAAAAAAAUGAAGGAUUCGGUUUUGUGGUGAAGAAACAUUGCAUUUAUUUUUCUCAGUUGUUUCUAUGUUAGAGAAGCAAUAAUUUUUAUCAUUAUCUGCCUUCCAGGAAAAAGCAAAUUAUCUGCAUAAGUAAAGGUUGAUUCUUGCUGGUUUAUAUGACAGCUAGAUCCAAGGAAGACCUUCCUAUGGCUUUUUUAAAUAAUAGUAGUCUUCCUCUGUCCUCAUGGGCAUCUUCCCACCUUUCCGGUUCCCACAUUUUCUUAUUUUUGACCCAAUUUAAUAUAGUAUUAAUUGGCCUUGGUGAGGUAAUGCACUAAGCUUUCUUGCUCAAUAAAAUGGAAUUGGCCGUAUUCGGUCUAAAAAAAGAGACGCCACCAAGAGGGUAGUAGAGGAAAUUAAGCAACAUUUCCUGCAGGAUAAGGGAGGAAAAAAGUCACGCCGUUGUUAUAUAAAUUUAAACAACCUUUCCCUCCCCAUCUAAUAAAAGUAUAAGUUGUCAACUACAGUUUGUUUUAAUCCAUCUGAGUGUUUUCUAAUUGGCACACUCCUACCUGUUGGUACUAUAAUUAGGAAAACAUGAGAGCAGAGGCCACUAAAUAUAUUAGGCAGGUAAAAGGGAAAGAAUCUGUGGCAAAGGGCACAAAAGUGGAACCCGGUGCCUCUCAUCAUCUCUGUAGUGUUCGAUCAGUAUUAACUAACACUUACCUGAGACUGACUACUCUCACCAACAAUACAGUAUUAUACCGAUAACAUUUAGAAAAUGCAUUCUUAAAUAGUUCAAGCAUAUUCUGAAGUAUUGUAUAUAACAUUUAAAACAAUAAAACCCCCAUUUCAUGGCACAUUAUUGAAGGAAAUUAAAAUUAGGCUUCUAAAAUUUAAAGUAAAAAGAAUCUUUCUGAUGCCAAAAAGAAAACUUAAUUAAAAAAUGUUCAGCAGUAUUUUAAACAAAAGGAUAUGAAGCUCUAAAAGUUCCCUUUGAAGAAAAACCUCAAAUGAGAUUUAUAUACUGAAAUAUUUACAUAUUUUCAAAUACCAAAUCCUAACAAUACUGUACAAAUGGCAAUCAAAACAUUAGUUUAAAUCUCUCAAACUUAUGAAUUAAAAUUGUACACCAUGAAGUUCAGAAAUUAAAAAAUCAUAAGCAAUUUCAUCAGUUCUUUCAAAAACCAACUGAAUUUCCAUAUGAAUUUGUCCAUAAAGAUGGGCAAUUUUUUGUUGGUUGUGCCCAUGGCCUGCGAAAGUUCCUGGGCCAGGGAUCGAACUUGUGCCACAUCACGACCCAAGCUCUGCAAUGACAACGCCAGAUCUUUAACCUGCCAUGCCACAAGGGAAUUCCUUAUCUUUAAAAAUUAAAACACAGUACUCAUUUGGUUAAAACUGGAUGUUAACACUGGCAGUGUGUUUUCAGGAAAAGUUUUACUUAAAUUUAACUCUCUCUAUAUAAUUUUUUAAAAAAAUGCCAUAAAACUCCACCAGUAUUUCUAACGCUAGAGACUUCUAAGAAAUUCAUUACCUAUUUCUCUGAUUAUUUAUUGUCAGCAGGAAGAGUAAAGGCCAUUUGCAAAAGGCAACCAAGCAUUCUGAAAAGAGGCUCAUUAGACCAAUUUUAUUCCUAUGUAUUAAGCAAAAGUUUCUUGUAAAUGAGAUUUAACUUUGAGAAGAAAAGGGUUUUCAAGUGAAUAAAGGAACUGCAAAUGAGC
rnacentral:lncRNA from 1 species